rnacentral:rRNA from 1 species
AGAGUUAAACAGUACGUGAAAUUGUUGAAAGGGAAACGAUUGAAGUCAAUCGUACUUCGGGCAAUCAGCCUUUUGGGUGUGAUUAUGUGGAGCGUGAGAAGUUAAUCACCCUCAUCUUUUCAUAUUCGUGCACUUUGGGUGUACUUGCUCGUGUGUGGGUUAACAUCAAUUUUGAUUAUCAUAAAAUGAUUGGAGGAAUGUAGCUUCGAUCUCGUAUUGAAGUGUUAUAGCCUUUGGUAGAUGUGAUGAUCGAGAUUGAGGAUUGCAACGGAUACCUCUCGGGGCUACCUGUCUGGCCUCUGAUGAUUGCUAUGGUGCCGAAAGCUUGCUUACGGUCAUCAAAGUUGAUUGUCAAAAGGUUAGAACAGGUUAAAUUCGUUAAGGAUGUUGACAUAAUGGCUUUAAACGACC